UGUAAACCCUUUUAUUGGACCCAACUGUAGUUGUGGGGGAUCGGAUCGUAAUCUGCCCUACCGAGUUCAGUGCCAGAUACCUCUGAACCAACUGGCAGUGGGUUCUGCUUUUCUUUUUCUUUUUCUUUUUGUAGCAAUUUUUUACAAUCCUUUGGUUUAAACGACUUUGUGAGGGUCACCUAUACCGGAGGUGCCUUUUUGCUUUAUUUUUUGUUUUGUUU
rnacentral:lncRNA from 1 species